ensembl:lncRNA
UUAAAGUUCAUCAAAUAAAGUUUAUAGUUUGGUUUCUGUGUAGACAAUUGCCUCUCUUGUCAUUUGCCUACUACAGUAUAAUCGGUGGUCGGGGCUAAACAGGCAGUGAUAUAAAAUCUGUGGGCGGGGCUAAACAGACAGUGAUUUAGAAUCUGUGGUCGAGGCUAAACAGGCAGUGACAUAGAAUCUGUGGUCGGGGCUAAACAGGCAGUGAUAUAGAAUCUGUGGUCGGGUCUAAACAGGCAGUGAUAUAGAAUCUGUGGUCGGGGCUAAACAGGCAGUGAUAUAGAAUCUGUGGUCGGGUCUAAACAGACAGUGAUAUAGAAUCUGUGGUCGGGUCUAAACAGGCAGUGAUAUAGAAUCGAUGGGCGAGGCUAAACAGGCAGUGAUAUAGAAUCUGUGGUCGGGUCUAAACAGGCAGUGAUAUAGAAUCGAUGGGCGAGGCUAAACAGGCAGUUAUAUAGAAUCUGUGGUCGGGGCUAAACAGGCAGUGAUAUAGAAUCAGUGGGCGGGGCUAAACAGGCAGUGAUAUAGAAUCUGUGGUUGGGUCUAAAGAGGCAGUGAUAUAGAAUCGGUGGUUGGGGCUAAACAGGCAGUUAUGUAGAAUCAGUGGGCGGGGCUAAACAGGCAGUGAUGUAGAAGCAGGCGUUGAGCUUCUUCUGCGGAGGCGGUGUUUAUCCACACUAUUACAUCAUAGAGUGGCACAUUGAUUCCACAAGCUGUUGUUUUGGCAGAAUGGCUUCACUAUAAUCUGUUUUUAGACCAAAGUCCUUUUAAGACAAGGCAUGUCACUCGGCGGCCAUCUUUGAAAUGCCUCUCAGGCAUGCAAGUGCAAC